UACGAAGGGGGCUAGCGUUGCUCGGAAUCACUGGGCGUAAAGGGUGCGUAGGCGGGUUUUUAAGUCAGAGGUGAAAUCCUGGAGCUCAACUCCAGAACUGCCUUUGAUACUGAGAAUCUUGAGUAUGGGAGAGGUGAGUGGAACUGCGAGUGUAGAGGUGAAAUUCGUAGAUAUUCGCAAGAACACCAGUGGCGAAGGCGGCUCACUGGCCCAUAACUGACGCUGAGGCACGAAAGCAUGGGGAGCGAACAGG
rnacentral:rRNA from 1 species